CAGCUCGUGCCGGGCGGCGCUGAGGCUGCCGGGAGCCGCCAUCUUCUCGGAGAGCGCUGCCGGGGCGGCUCCGGCGCGGGGACCGGACGGGAUGGGGUGUGCCCGGAAUGUAAUUUGUUCUAAAGAUUGGUGGAAAAUAGCAAUGAAACCAGUAUCUGCUUUGAUUAAUCCUUUGCUAUACUUGGUCUGGUUGGAUACUAAUACCUUAGGGAAAACUGUUGGAAUCUAAAGGAGGCCUGCUUCUGAAGAGAUGACGUGUCAUGUCCCACGGGAGCCGGACGCGUGUGCCUGUGCUGACACUGCCGGUGCCCAGGAGUGGGCACAGGAGCGCAACCGACGGGGAACUUUUGUUGGAUUUCCACAGGGCUGUCCCGUUUCCGUGUUAGCUCUAGCCCGGGCUGGCUUUGUUUAUACUGGGGAAGGUGACAAAGUGAAGUGCUUCAGUUGCCACACAACUAUUGAAGGAUGGGUGCCUGGGGAUUCUGCGGUUGAGAGACACAAACGGCUUGCCCCUAACUGCAAGUUUAUUACUGAAUGUGCUUUUCUGGAAAGUAACAUGAAUCCUGUUGCCCAGAACGACCAGAAUAGAACUGAAAAUGGUUCCAGCAGUUCAGCGCUCCCGUGUGCUCUGGAUGACCCCGAUGUGGAGGCCGAUUACCUUUUGAGAACUAGGCAGGUUGUGGAUAUGUCAGAUAGUUUGUAUCCUAAAAACCCUGCUAUGUGCAGUGAAGAAAUGAGAUUAAAGUCUUUUCACAACUGGUCCCUCAAUAGCCAGCUGACACCACAGGAAUUAGCUGAUGCUGGAUUUUAUUAUACAGGUGUUGGUGACCAAGUGGCAUGUUUUUGUUGUGGUGGAAAACUGAAGAACUGGGAACCCGGUGACAGAGCUUGGUCAGAGCACAAGAGGCAUUUUCCCAAAUGCCUUUUUGUCCUGGGCCGGGAUGUUGGAAAUGUUUCAAGUGACUCCAUUCCUGCUGAGCUUGGCAUAAGUGGUCUGAACAAUGCACAGCACCCAAGGAAUCCCUCUAUGGCAAAAUACGGAAAACGUUUACAGACAUUUUUAUCUUGGAUAUAUCCUGUUGACAAGGAGCAACUUGCAGAAGCUGGAUUCUAUAGUGUAGGUAAUGGUGAUCGUGUUGUGUGUUUCCACUGUGGUGGAGGAUUGCAAGAAUGGAAGGAAAAUGAAGACCCUUGGGAUCAACAUGCCAAAUGGUUUCCUGGGUGCAGAUUUGUGAUCAAGGAAAAGGGGAUAGAAUUUAUAAAUAAUGUUCACUUAAGAGAUGGAUGUAGGGAUUCAACAGCAGAAAAUGCUGAAGGGACAAUACUUCCUAAAGAUGAUCUCUUACAGAAUCCUUUGGUACAAAGUGCCAUAGCCAUGGGUUUCAGUUUGUCUGAGAUUAGGAACACCAUGGAAAAGAGAUUGCAGAUGACUGGAGAAAGUCACACUUCUGUUGAGGAUCUGGUAGCAGACUUAAGUGCUCAUAAAGAAAAUGCAAGGGAAGAGGAACCAAAUGAAACCCCAGUUGAGCAAGAUGAGCUUAUUCAGUUACAAAACCUCUACCUCAGUACUGAAGAGAAGUUAAGACGUUUGCAGGAGGAAAAGCUCUGUAAAAUCUGUAUGGCUAAGGACGUGUCUGUUGUCUUCAUUCCCUGUGGUCACCUGGUUGCCUUAUCUUAAAGAAACAGAAGGAAUUACAUGGCCUCUAAUACUGGGCUAAGUGUUUAAAGAGACAGAAAUGAAGGAUACAAAUGAAUGGAGUGGAUGCACAGGGGCUUUGAAAAGCUGCCCUGGGAGUUGAUUUUUGGGAGUUACCUGGGAGCUGUGCAAAUAUGUCCAGGUAUCAGUAUUCAGGCACUUUCUUCUCGAGGCUUCUGUAUGCUAUCUUUCUUUGGUGUUAUGUGUAGAGAGAUGUUAAUGCAGGCACUCGAGUAUGGUGUCCCUGUGAAACCAAGCUGAAGUGUUCUCCAGGAGGGAGCAUCACCAGGGGCAGUGACCUUUGCUGCUGUGGUCUUCAGGAGCUACCCGGAAGAGAAUCUGCUCUGCCUUGCCUUGGUGCAAGUUCAAGCAGCCGAUGUGUGAAGGUCAUCUCUUCACAGAGCUAAGGAGGGGCUGAAGGUUUUCCUGGCCUUGGCAGUGUUUUCCUGCAGCAGUGAGGAUUUGAACUGCGUUGUUGCACGGUGUUCUUUGUUACCCUCUGUGUUGUGCACGACUGACUCCUGUCAGCAAGGCCAGACGCCAGAAAAUGCUGGAGAGGCUUCCAGAGCUGCUGCUGCCGAGGCUUCUCCCUGUUGGUGCAGAGCAGCUGGAUUGGCCUCAGCCCCUGAAUGUGGCAUGUGAAGGGUGCUGGCCCCUUCUCCAUAGUUUCUUUUAGGAUGACCCAUGUUCCAGGUUGGAAGCUUCCCUUCUGCUCGGCCCACAGCUGGAAGCAGAGGUACAGGGAUUGGAGCACUGGGAGCUCCCUGGGGUGUGAAUGGGAGCUGCUGUCCUCAGUGUUUAUGGGGAGCGUCCCAGGUGUGCCCUUUGCCACGCAGGGGAAAACACUUCCUUCACAGCUGCUGGCACUGAGGCUUUGCAGGGCUGCUACUGUCACACCAAACAAAGUUACAGUCUAAAAGAAGUAUUUUUAUCUUAACGGUUUUGAACAUCUGUGCAACCCACCAACAUGUCAUAAACUGUUGUACUCCUUGCUACUUGUUAUGCAUUGUGCCAUUUACAAAAACCUUUAAUCUCAGCUAAUGACAUGAUAGCACUUUGCUUUGCUUCCACCACCCACUGUGUCAGAGUUGAGGCAGCAAAAAAGGCCUUGAGCUCCAGACACAACCGCCAGGAGGGGAGUGACUUGUGAGAAACACAGUCUGAAAGAAACCUGGAAGUUAGUUGAUGGUGAAAACUAAACCAGAAGAAAGUUGUGUUAGGGACAGACAUAUAUAGAGGACCUUGGAAUGUGGUAGUCAGCCCCAGAAACCAUACAAGUUUAUGUGAAAGAGUUAUCUGUUCCUUGACCUUAUCUGUUAUUAACAACUCCCCUUUAACCCUCUAAGUUCCAGCCUCAGUAGUUUGUGGGGAAAAGACCAAGAUACAUCAUCCAAACCUUGUUUGCCUGCACAUACACAGGAGUGCUGUCUCGUAUAUUUGAUAGAGGAUUUUCUUCAAAGCUUAAACACAAAAGUAUUUGGCUAUGAUCCUGGGCAGAGGUUGAAUUGAAUAAUGUCGUUUCUGUCUCAGUUCCACUCUAAUCCCACCUAACCACAAGCCAGCCUCCUUUCUCCCCUCUAGACACCCCCUGGCUCCAUGUCAGAGUCUCAGGGGGGCUGGAGGCCUCCGAGCUCUGACCAGCUGAGAACUGUUUUGUGUUCCUGACGGGUUAGGUGCCCUACACGUCCAGAGUAGGAUGUUUCACAACCUGCUUUCACUGGGUUUUAGCUGUUUCUCAGCUAAACCUGCUUCCCUUGCCAUCAGUUGUGCUGUUUGGUCUGCUUGAUUUUACUUCAGUUCUUGGCAGCUUCUCACCCGAGCCCUCCAUUCUUUGCUGACACUUACCUGGCUUCCCUAGUCUGAAACAUGUUUCUCUGGUUCCUGUGCUUCCUCCUCAGACUUUGUCAAUGAUGCUGUCAUGGUGCCUGACUCAUAAAAUGGACCUUGAUUCAUGCUCCCUCUGCCUGGACUUAGCUAAAGGACACAAAUAAUGUCUUGCCCAUGUCUUCCAAAACCUCCCUAGAUGGAGAAACUGGAGCACAUUGUGUCCUGAAUCCAGGAGAGGUAGCCUGGAAAUGGAACUGCAGAGGGGGUUCCUAUUCUUCAGGAGAAAGAAAAGGAAGAAGCAUGAAAAGAAAAGGAAGCAGCAUGAGCAUGAAUCUCCUGCCUGGGAAAAUGAAUCAGCCACCUGGCAGCCUGAGUUUAUUCUGAUCUUCUUUAGUGCUGAACCUCUGGCCAUUAAUUCAGACACAGAAUUGGUAUCUGCCCUCUCCUUGCUCAGUUUCCUGUGUGACUGAUCAUGAAGCUCUCUUUGGAUCAAGCGUGAUAACAGUGCCUGUCUGAAGCAAUGGUAGAAGCCCACUCUGGAGCUGCUGGCUUAGAAAGAAGUGGUGUGCUUGCAGAGGAACUGCUUUUCAUCAUCUUCCCUGUUGUACCAAGUGGAAGGCUCAGUCCCAGAAGCAUGAUCUCUUCAUGAGGAAAAUGCAGGAUUUAGGCUCUUCAGAGAGCCAGUUUGGCCCCCUUAAAAGUGAGGAACCCUCACAGGGCUCAGCUGACUUAAGAAACCGCUGUCUCUGGUCACUGGAGCAGAGCAGAAACCUUCUUGGCCUCACGGCAGCGCUCAGCACCUUCGGCUGUGCUGGCUGAAGUGCUCCUUCCUGCACUUGUACUGGAACAGCUCCGAGAAAUGGUCUGGGCUGGGGACGGCAAUCAAAGCGGGCCCUUGGAAUAAAAACGUCCCUCCCCUUCUCCGAUGAGGCAACAGCUUUGCUAAGACUGGGCUGAGCAAACAGCUGAAUGAAACUGCGAGGGAGGAAAUUGAACUGGAGAGUGCGAAAUCCUCUUAGGCAGGCUCAGUGACGAGGGGUUUGUAAUGUGCUCCUGCACCUGGACUCUGGUCUCCAGAGCGCUUCCAUGCUUUGUCACAAGAAGGAAAAAGAAAAUUGUGUUGUCAGGACACUGAGAAGUUAUAGAUCUGAGCUUCCAAGGCCUGAGACAGCUUUGGAAAUGGGCUGAACUCUGCCAUGGUAUUGCCAGCGAUUGCACACUCAGGCCUUCAAAACCACACCUUAAAAACUGUCAUGUUUUCUUCACAUUAGGUAAGCACUUUUACCUAAAACCUCUCAGCUGUGAGCUCCAGUUUGAACUACAGUUUAUAUUUGGAAUAAAACGAAUGCAUGUAUUUCAUGCACAGCUGACUGGAGCUGCCUCAUGUUGUGCUCCUGCAAUAAACUGCUAUAAUCCUGCAAAGUUUUGGAUUGGAGUUGUAAUAUCAGUUAUCCCUAUUGUAUCUCAAGCAGAAGACACAUCACUGGAAUUCUGUGUGCAGGAAAAAUGUUGUAGUUUGUUUUUAUGGAAAGGUUGUCUAUCUGGCAGCAGUCAGAAGUUGACUUUAUAAGGGAAAAGCACUAAUGGACCCAGCUCCUUUCCAUCUAUUCCUGUGUCGUUUUAUAACAAUAUAGAUAAUUACUAAGGCUUACGUUAAGUUUGGUGGGGAUUUUAAUACAAAUUUCUUCUACAAUUUCCAGACACUAUCAGAUUAACAAUAAAGAUCAUCACCUGCAUUCGUAGCUGUAAUUGAAAUAGUGAACAUAGUUGUACGACUAGGCAUUCAGGAUAAUAUUCUAAUGUAUUCCCGACAAGGCAGUCUUUCUGCUUAUUUUCCUUUUUGUUUCCCCCGAACUUGACAGAAGGUGCAAAACUAUUCUGAAGUGUGAAUUCAAGCUACAGAAUGUAAUUAAUUUGUGUAAGCCUGUCUCAUGUACCGUCAGAUUGUGUCUAGAAUUCCUAGGUGUCAUCAAUUGAUAUUACACUGGUUUUAGGGGGGGUGGGGUUGUUCCCCCCCCCCCCCCCCCCCCCAAGUUUCAUUUUAAACAGUCCUAAUCUGAUCGCCGUUUCCAUUGCAAAGCGUUACUUUCUCGGCGGGAUGGCCCAUCUUAGUUUUGAAAAGACGGGAACUGGUGGAUAUUCUUCUCUAAGUAUCCUGCCUUUGUUAGGCAGGUGAGCAGAGUAACUCGGUUUAGCGACUGCUUAGUUAUGUUAACGCCGUCCCCAAAAUUAUAAGUAGAUAAACACAAGAGGGUGAUUAGAGACUAAUUACCAGGACAAAACUAUUAUUGUGCUGACUGAUCUAAACAGAUUCUUACGUGGAACUACUCAGCAUGAGCAAUGUGCUUAGCAUUACCCAAUAAAGUGGAAAAAAAACA